AACAAACGCUGGCGGCGUGCCUAACACAUGCAAGUCGUACGAGAAAGGGUCCUUCGGGGCCUGAGUAAAGUGGCGCACGGGUGAGUAACGCGUGGAUAAUCUGCCCUUCAGUUGGGAAUAACUCAUCGAAAGGUGGGCUAAUACCGAAUAAUGCUGUGAGACCUCGGUUGAUCAGCCAAAGAGAGCCUCUGCCUGCAAGCCCUCGCUGAAGGAUGAGUCCGCGUACCAUUAGCUAGUUGGUAGGGUAAUGGCCUACCAAGGCGACGAUGGUUAGCUGGGCGGAGAGGAUGAUCAGCCACACUGGAACUGGGACACGGUCCAGACUCCUACGGGAGGCAGCAGUGAGGAAUCUUGCGCAAUGGGGGCAACCCUGACGCAGCAACGCCGCGUGAGUGAGGAAGGUCUUCGGAUCGUAAAGCUCUGUCGGAUGGAAAGAACCGCAUAGGGGUAAACAGCCCCUGUGUCUGACGGUACCAUCAAAGGAAGCACCGGCUAACUCCGUGCCAGCCGCCGCCGUAAGAC
rnacentral:rRNA from 1 species